CAGCAGUGGGGAAUAUUGCACAAUGGGCGCAAGCCUGAUGCAGCCAUGCCGCGUGUAUGAAGAAGGCCUUCGGGUUGUAAAGUACUUUCAGCGGGGAGGAAGGGGUUAAGGUUAAUAACCUUAGCCAUUGACGUUACCCGCAGAAGAAGCACCGGCUAACUCCGUGCCAGCAGCCGCGGUAAUACGGAGGGUGCAAGCGUUAAUCGGAAUUACUGGGCGUAAAGCGCACGCAGGCGGUCUGUCAAGUCGGAUGUGAAAUCCCCGGGCUCAACCUGGGAACUGCAUUCGAAACUGGCAGGCUUGAGUCUCGUAGAGGGGGGUAGAAUUCCAGGUGUAGCGGUGAAAUGCGUAGAGAUCUGGAGGAAUACCGGUGGCGAAGGCGGCCCCCUGGACGAAGACUGACGCUCAGGUGCGAAAGCGUGGGGAGCAAACAGGAUUAGA
rnacentral:rRNA from 1 species